CUUCCCACUAGGCGCGUGGUACCCGAGGCCGGGCCGGAGCCGCAGGCCAGCCGCGAUUCCUUCGGGCGAUGCUGGGGGCUUUCCGGUCGGGGCCGCAGCCGCUUCCGGAGCCGCGGGCGAGUCGAUUCACCAUGAUCUUGGCUGGCUGUCUUCUUCCUUCAUGGCUGCUAGUAAUGACAAUUCAGUGGCUGUUUCUUCAGCUGUGCAAAGUUGGAACAUGUUUGGGAGUUCAACGGCAUUGGUUUCUGGUUGGUGCAAGCGGUCUUCUCUGUCUUCUUUAUGGCCAGUAAAAUUCUCCAGAAGAGAUUUAUGGCAGCCUCACUCCCAGUAGUUUCUGCAUUUAGUGAGAUAAGGAAUGGAUUUUCUUCUGUGUAUUGCUGACACGAACAGGAGACGGAAAUACUGAGUAGAAGAGGGCGGUUCCCUGGCUAAGGCCCCACCCUCAAGCCUGGAUACCCGCGGCCCUAAAUGAGAAGAGGCGUUUCUGUUUGGGGCCCAAAAAGUUGCUUUUUGACCCACCACGCCCCCUAUCCUGCCCCCAUAUAAACCCCAAACCCCAACCUCCAGAGCAUACCAGCAGGUGAGGAGAUACGAGGCAAGCCGACUGAC
rnacentral:lncRNA from 10 species